AUCCAUCUGAUGAGUCCUAAAUAGGACGAAACACACGUUUUGAAU
rnacentral:hammerhead_ribozyme from 1 species